GCGCACCAGUCGAGAAUCCUUCGCAAUGCAGGAAACUGCGACGAGGGAACUCCAAGUGCCUACGCUCAGCGUAGGCUGUUCUCAAGCCUAGAAAGCUUGAGGAGUAAGGGCUGGGUAAGACGGGUGCCAUCUGUGGUAGCAGUCAAUAGAUUCGAUUUGUUACUGCAAGGCAUAAGCCGCCGCGGUAAUACCCGCAGCCCAAGUGGUGGCCGUCUUUUAUUGGGCCUAAAGCGUCCGUAGCCGGACCCGGUAAAUGCCUGGGUAAAUCGUGGAGCCCAACUUCACGAAUUCCGGGUAGACUGCCGAGCUCCGGGACCGGAAGAGGGAGAGGGUACUUCGAGGGGUAGGGUAGAAAAUUUCCGUUUCAUUAACGCUUUUGCGCGAAGCGGAAAGGGUUAUCA
rnacentral:rRNA from 1 species